rnacentral:rRNA from 1 species
AUUGAACGCUGGCGGCAGGCCUAACACAUGCAAGUCGAGCGGAUGAAGGGAGCUUGCUCCUGGUUUUAGCGGCGGACGGGUGUGUAAUGCCUAGGAAUCUGCUUGGUAGUGGGGGAUAACGUCUGGAAACGGGUGCUAAUACUGCAUACGUCCUGAGGGUGCAAGUGGGGGAUCUUCGGACCUCUCGCUAUCAGAGGAGUCUAGGUCGGACUAGCUAGCUGGUGGGGUAAAGGCUUACCAAGGCGAGGAUCCGUAACUGGUCUGAGGGGAGGAUCAGUCACAGUGAAGGUGAGAGGCGAUCCAGGGUCCGAGGUAAGGCAGCGAGGGGAAUGUUGGACAAUGGUCGGAAACCUUGUCCAGCCGUGCCGCGUGUGUUGAAGAAGUCUUCGGAUUGUGAAGCACGUUAAGUUGGUGUAAAGGGCAGUAAGUUGAUACCAUGCUGUUUUGACGUUACCAACAAAAUAAGCACCGGCUAACUUCGUG